rfam:Oryza nivara chromosome 1, whole genome shotgun sequence.
AAAAAGACAAAUAUUAGGUUUAUGUAUCCAACGUUUGUUGAUCGUACGUCUUAUUUAAAAAAUUAUAAAAAAAAUUAAAAAGACAAGUCACGUAUAAAGUAUUAAUUAUGUUUUAUCAUCUAACAACAAUGAAAAUACUAAUUAUAAAAAAAUUUAUAUAAGACGGAUAGUCAAACGUUGGACACGAAAAUUCAAGGUUUGUCUUUUU